AGUGGGGGGGUUGUCUGCUCUCAGGCCCCGCCUCCCCGGGGCCGGCUCGGGCCACUUCUUGCGCGCUGCCAGAAGGAGCUAUUUUGAGCAGAAUCUAUUUGCUGAUCUCCAGUCUAGAGUGUUACUGAUGGGUUUCUGACACAGAAAUAUCUGGCUGAGAUGGUCCAACAUACCGGGAAACUCAUUCUCUCCUAUGAGAAAGUCAUAUUCUCUGAUAGCAUCUUUGGUCACCUGAAACCUAGUGUCCAUUGAAGGCACAGCUCUGGGAACUGCAAAACUGUUCUGUGGAGUGUUAUGGAGAGUAAAGCCAGGCAGACCAGCUGCUUCUGAGGGCUGUGGAUAAAAUAGAGAAUGAUACACUUACAUCCUCUACCUUUUGUUUCCAGGCACAGAUCAUUUCAGGUGCCUUCUGUGCAGAAAUAGCUGAAUAAACUUGGAGCUUGGUCUCUUUGUUGUUGAAUUUACAAUGUUAUUUGAAUGUAAGACCUUGUAGAUAUGACAUUUGAAAGUUAGGGCUCUGGAAUGGCACUGCCUGGCUUCAGAUCCUUCAUUUUUUUGCUAAAUGACAACAAACAAGAGGCUUAGGCUCUGUGCCUCCGUUUCAUCAUAGUCAAUUCUGGUAUUUGCAGUAGUUAUGUUGAAUAAAGUCACCCAGUACACGGACUUAGCAAAUACUGCUCCUUGGAAACCACAGCUCCUAGGGAAGAUACAGGGUUAGGUUCCUGUGAACCUCUGAUCACAACAUUUUUAUCAACAGAUCAAUAUACAUAACUUUGUUUUUGUGUGUGUGUUUCUAUUAAAGAUGCUUUAUUUAGGCCAGACACAGUGGCUCAUGCCUAUAAUCCCAGCACUUCGGGAGGCCGAGGCAGAUGGAUCACCUGAGGUCAGGAGUUCAAGACCAGCCUGGCCAACAUGGUGGAACCCUAUCUCCACUAAAAUCACAAAAAUUAGCCAAGUGUGGUGGCCCAUGCCUAUAGUCCCAGCUACUGGGGAGGCUGAGGCAGGAGAAUCACUUGAACCCGGGAGGUGGAGGCUACGGUGAGCCAAGAUCACGCCAUUGUACUCCAGCCUGGGCAACAGAGCGAGACUUCAUCUCAAACAAAACAAAACAGAAACAAACAAAAAGAAGCCUUAUUUAAUGUCUAUUAUUGACUCAUUAAUUAACAUUGAAAAUGAGAUGGGAAUAAUAUAGGGUGGUCACAGGAGAAUUAAAUUCCAGGCAGCAGUUUUACAUAACUAGAGACUAUCGUCUUCUAAGACCCUGAAAAGCCAAGGUAUGAACCAAGCUGGCUAAGACCAACUGGACCCAACAUGGUGCUGGGCUUGACCCAGGCUUCCCCUAGGACCUCAUUAUGUGCUCAUUAACAUACUAAACACACAACCACCAGUACCAUGACAAUUUCAGGAACACUCAGAUUUGGCGCAUAAAUGGGUGACACCACCGCUCCAAGAAAUCUCUACCUUUUCCCAGGAAUUUUCAUGAAUAUUCCACCUCUUGGUUGAAGAAACCCAUAAAGGUAGAAACCCCGAACCAUUGCUCGACUUUCUCUUGAGUAGGCCUGCAUUCCUCUUUCUUGAGUAUGUAAUUUUCACCUGGUAAUAAGUCUUUGUACUUUCACUAUUUUCUGACUCAUCCUUGAAUUCCUUUUCGUAAUGACGUCAAGAGCCCGGGGUCAAGGUCCCACCUGCGUUUGGGCACCUCCCCAGCCCACUGGUAUCAAACCCACAGACAAUGGCAUGUAACUCAUGCCUGAAUGAAGUACAUCUAACAUGUAUUUUCUCCCUAAGACACACCUUUUGCACUGAGGAACACUAGAUAACACUUCAACCCUACGUGUGGGGGCCAUUUAAAAAUGCAAAACCGCCACCCAAAAAAAAGCAAAAAAUGACAAAAAUGUGGCGCUAAACAGACCAAGAAAAGGACAGUUGUUGGCAGUAGGUGAGCAGAAAUGAGGGCAGAGAGAGAGUGCUUGCUGGGUCUCAGCCAGGGACUCCAACACGCGGCGACUCGGAUUUUCCCCACUCCAGGCACAUGGCAUGUACAGGCUCAUGGCCUCAGAAACGCUGCAAGUAUUGAUUUGUGGGGGGAGGGGGGGAGGUUACACAUAAAUUUUUUACCUACUAAGUGAAUUUGCAAAUGUGGAAUCUAUGAAUCAUGAGAAUCAACUGUAUGCUAAAACAGAGGAGUAAUAGGACCUGCCUCAUCAGAUGGCUAUGGGAAUUCAAUGAUAUAUGAGUGCAUGUAAAUUGCUUAUAAUGGGGCAUUACACAGAGAGGACUGAGUAUUAGCCACUUUUUUUGUGUGUUUUUUUGUUUGUUUUUGUUUUGCUUUUGAGAUGGAGUCUUGUCCUGUUGCCCAGGCUGGUGUGCAGUGGCGCGAUCUUGGCUCACUGCAACCUCCACCCCCUGAGUUCAAGCGAUUCUCUUGCCUCAGCCUCCCUAGUAGCUGGGAUUACAGGCGUGUGCUACCACACCCAGCUAAUUUUUGUAUUUUUAGUAGAGACG
rnacentral:lncRNA from 1 species